CGGGUUGUGGCGCAGCUUGGUAGCGCACCUGACUACCAGGCAGGCGGAUCGGCAUCUUUCCUCAACUUGACCA
rnacentral:tRNA from 1 species